rnacentral:tRNA from 1 species
UGAGGUGUAGCUCAGAGGUAGGGUACUUGCCUAACAUGCAAGGCCCUGGGUUUGAUUCCCAGCACUGCAA